UACGUAGGGCGCAAGCGUUGUCCGGAAUUAUUGGGCGUAAAGAGCGUGUAGGCGGCCAUACAGGUCAGCUGUGAAAACUCAAGGCUCAACCUCGAGACGUCGGUUGAAACCGUAUGGCUAGAGUCCGGAAGAGGAGAGUGGAAUUCCCGGUGUAGCGGUGAAAUGCGCAGAUAUCGGGAAGAACACCCGUGGCGAAGGCGGCUCUCUGGGACGGUACUGACGCUGAGACGCGAAAGCGUGGGGAGCGAACAGG
rnacentral:rRNA from 1 species